rnacentral:rRNA from 1 species
GGUGACAGCGGAGGGAUCAUUAUAGAGUUUUCUAAACUCCCAACCCAUGUGAACUUACCUUUUGUUGCCUCGGCAGAAGUUAUAGGUCUUCUUAUAGCUGCUGCCGGUGGACCAUUAAACUCUUGUUAUUUUAUGUAAUCUGAGCGUCUUAUUUUAAUAAGUCAAAACUUUCAACAACGGAUCUCUUGGUUCUGGCAUCGAUGAAGAACGCAGCGAAAUGCGAUAAGUAAUGUGAAUUGCAGAAUUCAGUGAAUCAUCGAAUCUUUGAACGCACAUUGCGCCCAUUAGUAUUCUAGUGGGCAUGCCUGUUCGAGCGUCAUUUCAACCCUUAAGCCUAGCUUAGUGUUGGGAAUCUACUUCUCUUAGGAGUUGUAGUUCCUGAAAUACAACGGCGGAUUUGUAGUAUCCUCUGAGCGUAGUAAUUUUUUUCUCGCUUUUGUUAGGUGCUAUAACUCCCAGCCGCUAAACCCCCAAUUUUUUGUGGUUGACCUCGGAUCAGGUAGGAAUACCCGCUGAACUUAAGCAUAUCAAUAAGCGGAGGAAAAGAAACCAACAGGGAUUGCCUUAGUAACGGCGAGUGAAGCGGCAACAGCUCAAAUUUGAAAUCUGGCCCUUGGGUCCGAAUUGUAAUUUGUAGAGGAUGAUUUUGGUGCGGUAUCUUCCGAGUUCCUUGGAACAGGACGCCUUAGAGGGUGAGAGCCCCGUACGGUUGAAUGCCUAGCCUCUGUAAAUCUCCUUCGACGAGUCGAGUAGUUUGGGAAUGCUGCUCUAAAUGGGAGGUAAAUUUCUUCUAAAGCUAAAUAUUGGCCAGAGACCGAUAGCGCACAAGUAGAGUGAUCGAAAGAUGAAAAGCACUUUGAAAAGAGGGUUAAAUAGCACGUGAAAUUGUUGAAAGGGAAGGAUUUGUGACCAGACUUUUUCUGGGCGGAUCAUCCGGGGUUCUCUCCGGUGCACUUCGCCCAGUAAAGGCCAGCAUCGGUUUUCGGCGUGGGAUAAAAGCAGUAGGAAUGUGGCUCUCUAMRGGGAGUGUUAUAGCCUAUUGUAUAAUACCGCGCUGGGGACCGAGGUUCGCGCUUCUGCAAGGA